UACGGGGGGAGCAAGCGUUGUUCGGAUUUACUGGGCGUAAAGGGCGCGUAGGCGGUCAGCACAAGUCAGUUGUGAAAUCUCCGGGCUUAACUCGGAAAGGUCAACUGAUACUGUGCGACUAGAGUGCAGAAGGGGCAACUGGAAUUCUCGGUGUAGCGGUGAAAUGCGUAGAUAUCGGGAAGAACACCCGUGGCGAAGGCGGCUCUCUGGGACGGUACUGACGCUGAGACGCGAAAGCGUGGGGAGCGAACAGG
rnacentral:rRNA from 1 species